rnacentral:rRNA from 1 species
CACGAAGUUAGCCGGUGCUUAUUCUGUCGGUAACGUCAAAACUGCAAGGUAUUAGCCUACAGCCCUUCCUCCCGACUUAAAGUGCUUUACAAUCCGAAGACCUUCUUCACACACGCGGCAUGGCUGGAUCAGGCUUUCGCCCAUUGUCCAAUAUUCCCCA